AACACUAUCUGGUAAUAAAAUAACACUGCCAUUGCUAGGCCAGUGUUAUAUCCACGACAGUGUCGGUGUAAAACAAGGGUGUUAUCAGAUCACUCUGAGCGGUGUAAAUCAAGCCACGCCUCCACUAAACAUAUCCUGUCAGGGAUUUUACCGCCAUUUUCUUUCAAAGGAGGACUGAAGAGAGCAGAUGCUAGUUUGGUGAAAGUACACACUGAGUGCUUAAAAUCAUUCAGAAGAGAUGCUGUUUUUAAGGCAGUUUAUUAAAGAAGACCUGACAUGGAUGACUUCCAAUGAGAAACGACUGCUAAUACUUAUAUAAAUUCAUUACAGAAGGACCCUACCAGACUAUAUUUGAAUAUGGCAUACCCAUGAAUUCUGGAACUGUUAUUCCUUAACCCAGUUUGGAGGAUAAGAGCUUACCAACUAUAAAUAUGCUGAGGUGAUGUAUUGCAAAAUAGCCAACAUACAACAAUUAAAGGAUAAUUGCAGACUACGUCCUGAUGAAGAUAUGGAUGACCCUCUGUCUGGUCAACAGGAGUUUAAAUAUGGACGGGACAGUUAUGUGGCAGCUCUUCCCUGGCUCAUUCACUUCUUGCCUUCAUUUGUGAAAGGAGGAAAGACUGGAGAGGGUCAAUGUGCAACUGAAGCUACUGAUUGUGCUGUGUGAUGAGCAUCAAUCCAUGCUUUGAGGUGGAUGGAUCAGCACAGCCCUGCCUGCUCUGCGUUGGGAACAAAAGUUGCAUCCAGAGUUUUUGCAUCAUUCUGGACCAAAAAGCCAUUCCCUGCAUGAUGAAGACCACUGAUGCAGCCUUCCACUACUGUACAGUAAAACAACUACAGAACUAAAUACCAGGUUGGAACGUGUUUAAGAAAAAUGAAACGUCUUUUGAAUUGAAAUGUCUGUUUUGUUAUGGAAAAAUCUUUAGUAUUGUGAAGGAUAAGCAUUUCUGCUUGCCGAUAAGGUAAUUGCAUGUAUUUUAAUGUUCAAGUUUUGAGUAGGGUGGCUAAUUUUUUUAAACUCUCAUUUGAUUUAUUAAAGACCUUAUAAUAAGUGGUUUUCAUGUCACUGCGCUGUGGUAUAAGAUAACUUUCAUUAUUCCAUACUGUAUUCUGUUUCUAAUUGUAGCUGAGGUAUUUAAAUAAGCAGUGUUAAAUGCAAAGUGUUGUGUGUAUCAAUGUAAAUAUUAAAUGUGAUUUACUUUAAU